ACGGAGGGUGCAAGCGUUAUCCGGAAUCACUGGGUUUAAAGGGUGCGUAGGCGGCGUUAUAAGUCAGAGGUGAAAGCCCCCAGCUUAACUGGGGAACUGCCUUUGAUACUGUAGUGCUUGAAUCAGGUUGAGGUUAGCGGAAUGUGUCAUGUAGCGGUGAAAUGCAUAGAUAUGACAUAGAACACCAAUUGCGAAGGCAGCUGACUAGACCUGUAUUGACGCUGAGGCACGAAAGCGUGGGGAGCGAACAGG
rnacentral:rRNA from 1 species